CAAGCUGCUGCAAUGGGAUGGAUUCAUGAUCAAGACAUCCUGAAGGCUGUCUAUCCUUUACACUCGAUGCCAUGAAGCAAAGCCUGCUGGGGAAGGCUCUGCAUGUCAAGGAACUGGGUGGUGCAGCUACAGUAACACCCAGCCAGCACAGCGCCUGCCAGUUUCAAAAUGGGAGACAGGGAGAACAGAGAAGCAGAACAAGCAGCAGGUGGAGCAGAACAGUUGAUUGGAUUUCCUGAAGGGGAGCCUCAGACAAGCCAGAAGUGAAGAGAGAGAAGCUCUAUGCAACUAAGUCAAGAGACGACACAGAAGCCCUGUGGCAAGGCGAUCUCUAGGGAUCUGCUGGCGAUAGAGGAAGUCGUGUUUUUAAAAAAGGCAACCACAACACAGAAAAAACUCGCCUCUCAGUAGGGAGGAAAAGGGUUUGGCGAUUAAAGCCCUAGAGCUGGCCACAGGAGAUCACCGACAACGUGUGCGCCCUGGGGGCAAGUCCCUACACUGCUUUAUGCCUCCGAUGGCUCUAGAGAAAUGAAAAGGGAGAAGUCUGGAUUUCGCACGAGGCACCGCCUAGGCUGCAUGGAAAUUCGUGGCCUUCCAGGGAACAGCGGGGCAUUGCCCCAGGGGGUUGGGAUUUAGGCCGCUCUUGGCGGGGGACGCUCUGAAGUCACGGUCUGAGCCAGCAACCUCUUGAGUCACGCAGUGCUUAAAAGAAAAGAAAAGAAAAAAAAAACCCACGUCCUUUUUGCACCUCGCCGAGUUUGGGAUUGUUGCAGUUUAAAGCGCCAGUGAAAGCUGCCUUGCAGCAGGGAGAGCUCGGCUCUUCCCAACCAGCCCUUUCAAAACCUGGAAGCUGGAGACCCUUUGCAAGGCGAGGAGCUGGGGGGUGGAAGAAGAGUUUAGCCACCCCCGUGUAAACAAACCGCGUCUUGGGUUGCACGGGGACACCCACGGGAACGUGCUGUGCCGCGGCCCCCCUCUCUAACAAUACCCAGCUCGGGGGAAAUCCCCGGGAAGCGUUUCACGUGCCCAUCGCUGACUCAGCCCAGCAAACCCAGGCUGCGCUCCUCCUCUGCUAGCCCUGGGAAGGGGUGGGGCGAGGGGGGCAGAGGGCUUCCUUUGUUGCUGCUGUUUCAGGUGCGCGUCCCCCUGCCAGUCCCCGCGCCAGCAGCUCCUUGCUCUGGCCAUCGCGCGCUUCUCCCCUGCAGACAGACGAAGAGGCUGAGCAGAGCCCCGCGCGCCUCCUUUUACCUGGUCCCGGCGAGCCGAGUCCCGAACCCCUGGGGCAGGAGAGCGAGUCCCACCUUCCCUCCGGCAGAGCUGGCGCCGCAGUGAAACCCGGCAGCGCGAGCCCUGCUCU